CAUCCCAGUUCGGAUUGCAGGCUGCAACCCGCCUGUAUGAAGUUGGAAUCGCUAGUAAUCGCGGAUCAGCAUGCCGCGGUGAAUACGUUCCCGGGCCUUGUACACACCGCCCGUCACACCAUGAGAGUCGGGAACACCCGAAGUCCGUAGCUUAACCGCAAGGGGGCGCGGCCGAAGGUGGGUUCGAUAAUUGGGGUGAAGUCGUAACAAGGUAUC
rnacentral:rRNA from 1 species